UUUAUGGAGAGUUUGAUCCUGGCUCAGGAUGAACGCUGGCGGCGUGCCUAAUACAUGCAAGUCGAGCGAACGGACGAGAAGCUUGCUUCUCUGAUGU
rnacentral:rRNA from 1 species